AGGAAUCCAAUGUGCGAGUACAUGAAUUGUGUUAAUACAUUAGGUAUGACUCUAUUUGAAUUGCUGUCUGAGGCUUUGGGACUAAGAAAAAGUUAUCUGAAAGAUAUUGGCUGUGCUGAGGGGCUUUACUUCGUUGGGCACUACUACCCACCUUGUCCUGAACCCGAAUUAACUCAGGCGGCUAUUGCCCAUAGUGAUUUAGCCUUCCUGAAUAUGCUCCUGCAAGAUCAAAUCGGUGGUCUUCAAGUGCUUCACCAAAAUGAAUGGGUUGAUGUCACUCCCUUGCCUGGAGCUAUGGUCGUGAACUUUGGAGACAUGAUGCAGGUAAAGAUUUAGGUGUACUUUGAGCUCCAAGCACAAGAAAUUUUGUAAUUGCAAGUAUGCAUAUUUAAACAUGAUUCUAUUCAAGCGUGUGUAUGGAUUGAAGAUUCAUAGCAUGCCGUACACUUGCUAAUCUUUCUGUAUUUCCCAAGUGCAGCUGAUCACAAAUGAUAAAUUCAAAAGCAGUAAGCACAGAGUACUGGCGAAAAAGGUUGGCCCUAGAAUUUCAGUGGCAACCUUCAUGAGGCCCGCGAGAAAUGAAGUAGUUACAUCGCGAAUGUAUGAGCCAAUUGAGGAGUUGCUCUCAGAUGAAAAUCCCCCAAUCUAUAAAAGGACAACGAUAAAAGACUGCAUGGCCCAGCUCUACUCGAACUUAAGCGCCGGUGAUGGGAGUUCUGCAUUGCUACAUUUCAAGGUCUGAAAGGCAGUGAAAGAGGAAAUUUCUUUUGCUGUGUCUUGCUAUGUUGAUUGUGUGCGUGAAGAUAACCACCCGUGUGAAAAUUUGGGUUCACCUAAAAUAACGAUUUUAGCUAUACGCUUAAACGAUACAUACAAACAUUGAAAUUCCUAAAAAUAAGAGGUGGAUUAUCUUGUAAUUUACAUCUAUUGUCGUCUGUUGUACAAGUCGCUGUGUGUGUCUGAAGGAUUUAUUGUCUUAUUACAGGUGUAUCAUACCUGAGAACUUGUGGUAUUCCUACAGAAAUAUGUGCCCAAAAAAGAGUUGCUUGAUUUUUCAUUUCCCUCGUACAAGUAAUAGUAGUAGUUGAAGCAAGAAAUGAGUGAGACCCUCUAGAAAAUUCGGCCAUGGCAUUCUGUAAAUGGUCAUAAAUCAAUGGAUUGGCAUUGGAUCGUUAAGUUAUUAUCUACGGAGUACAUGUAACUUCCAAUUCCUCUUCCCCAAGAUGAAAAAAUAGAGGUUUUAUUCCUUCUUUUAGGUUAAAGUAAUUUAGGCAAGAAAGUCCCAAGAUAGUAGAAGUAGCUGGCCUUGGGAUUUGUACUGCUGCUUCAGUCUAAAAUAUUUUUGCUUCCAAAUGAGCUUUCUUGAAAUGCCCGUCUCUAAAGGAGUUAUUUGAGUAUCUCUUUGAUUUAGUCAGGUUGUUAUAAGUACUGCACCAAGUCUAACACAAAUUAGUACAACUAUGCGAUACUAAAAGUUAAUAUAUCGAUAUUUCUAGUUACUUCUUUUGCUUUUCCUUUUUCCAUGAAAAAUAAAUUAUGAUAAUACCACUGAAAUUGUUUGAUUUUUAAUUAGCUACAUGAACAAGUUUUAAAUUUUCUUUUCGAGUUUGAUGGUCUAAAUUUGAGCAGUAAUCAAAAAUUAAUUAUUUGCUAGCCAUUGCGGUUGGCCCAAUGACUAAGAGAAGGCUAUUUAUUAUACUUUUUAUGUAGUAAUAUUCUCUCCGUCUCAUUGAGAAUAUCCUACUAUCCAUUGCAGGAUGUCCUAAAAUAUGUGUCUUCUUUAAAAGUCAAAACACCUUUUAAUCUUUCUUUCCAAUAUAUAAUCCAUUUCGCUAAUCAUAUGCAUGUUACCAUUCAAAUUCAAAUUUCGAAUUUGUGAGAGUAAAAUUAGAAAGAAAAAUACAAACAUCACAAACAAAACUACUACUCUUAAAAAGUUGGAUUCCUGAAACAAAGCCAAAUAAUUAGGGAUUGAGGAAGUACUAAUGAUGAACCAUUAUUUUCUUCUAAAUCAAUAGAUAUGAUAUAACGAAUUUCAAUCAUCAUAAUAAAUUAAAAAGAGCAUAAUUUGAAACUUCAAUCAUUAAUUAUUAAGGUAUAAUUGAAAUAACAAAAUCUAAAAUUACAAUGAUGCUAUGGAUAGGAGAUUAUUUGAAAUAAUUACUGUAACACUUUUUAUGAUGUGAUGUAUGUGAGAUAAAAAAUUAAUUGAAAAGAUAAAAAAGUGUGUUGAAAAUUAUAUUUAUGAUGCAAAUAAAUAAUUUGAAGCCAAAAAAUGGCUAUCCAAACAUUACAAUUGAAUAUGGACCAAUAAUGAAUUUGUCGGCAUAUUAUUUAAUACCGGUUAAUUUUGAUGGACCAGAGCCCUCCAAUUUCGUCUUGUACCGAAAAUAGUAAAGAAGAUUAUGUCACCAUAUCAGUGCCCACUCCGGUUAGAGCAAACAGGAACACAAUGCCCUACAACCACCAGCGAUCUAUUUGGGCUGCAGCCAGGAAACAAUGCCCUACAACCAGUUUUGGGUCACUCCAUCUUUAAACAUUAGAUCGGGAUUUUGAACUUUACCUGCAACGAUAAAAAUUAAAAAAUUCAAGGUGGUGUAUUCAAGUUUUUAUACCAACUAACUAGUCCCUUAUACACAAGUCUCUUGUAAUGUUUAUGAUUUUAUUGGUCCAAGAGUGUAAGCAAUUUUAUGAUGUGGGUCAAUGUUGAACUAAAUAUGAAUUGCUCUAUUUGUGGUCCAUGGCACUGUGACUAAUUAUUUCUUUCCUUUUUUUUUUGGGAGGAAUGUGACUAAUUAUUUCAUUGUUACUUUAGCCUUCUUGCUGUCACGCUUCUAUCUCUAAUGUUCGUGACAGGUAAAAGUAGUCCAUCAUGGUGGGCCAGUCGUUGCCCGUUGGGGAAGGUAUCAAUAAAUAAAUAAUGCAUCUGUCAGACUCUCAGUAUAGAAAAUUUGAAGCGUGUUGGAUCUUUUUGGGCAUCCAGAAACGACAAAUUUGCAUUUGACCAAGGGAUAAUUUCACAAACCUCUCUUGAGAUUUCUGAUAAUUUCAUUGAACUCCCCUGAAGUUUAAAAAAUUACACAUACCUCCGUUCAUUUGAUAAUUUUAGUAACAAAACCUUAAAAUAAAAUUGUCUUGGUCAAAUUUUUAAAUGAAUACCCAAAAAUGCUCUUGUGUAAUGAGUUUUAAUUUACUUCCCUAUAAAAUUAUAAAAUUAUCUAAUGUGAUUAUACGAAAAAGGUGGCGAAUUUUUCAUAUCUAUACCUACUAUUUGAUAAAUAACUAUAAUAAUAAUUUUAUCACUAUGAUAGGAUACUUUUGAUGGUAUUUUAUUAUGAAUUUAGAUUUAUAAGACAGAGAAUAAAAUGUUGAAAUAAUUGAUUCAGAGUUUAAGAAUUUUUUGAGUAGUGGGAUUAUUAUAAUUUAGUAGUGAUUUUGAGCAAUUUCUUUUCGAUUUAUUGUUAAUUUUAAUACCAAAAAAUAAAAAACAAAGAUUAGCAAAAAAAAUAUCGGAUUACGUAUAAAGUUAACGCAUCAAAAUAAUCAUUAGUUCGACAUUUGGUUAUAAUAGAAACUAGAGAUAAUAGUGGUAAUUUUACAAUUUUAUGAGCAAAAAAUUAAAAUAAAAAGGAAUAAGAAUGAAAAAAUAAUUUUAAAGUCAUUCUAAGUAUAAGCAUACCAAACAAGGGAAUUCAUUAAAAUAUUUAAGGGUAGUAUUGUCAUUUUAAAUGACAAGAGAGGUAUAUGUAAUUUUUCAAAUCUCAGAGGCCUCAGUGAAAUUGAUAGAGACCUUAGGGGAGGUUUCUGAAACCAUCCCUUGAUGAAAUUGUAAAUAAUGAAUCUGUCAGUAUUGAAACGUGUUGCCGUCGAUCUUGGGCAUACAGAAACGGCAAUUGAAACGUGAUGCCAUCGAUCUUGGGUAUACAGAAACGACAAAUUUGCAUUAUAGAGUUCCUCAUAAAAUAAUAUCUGGGGAAGCUAGAGCUUUUUUUUUAUUACUAGUAAAAUGUGCCUUCAGAUUAUAUCGCAUCUCUUCUUCGUUGUUUUUUAAACUAACGCACGCAACUUGGCAAGCUGUCAUAUUUCUUGUCUCUCUGUUUGACUAGUAAUUUUGCAAAGGCUUUGGAGACUGCCAAUCAAACUCAAAAUUCAUUUUAUUUAUAGCUCGAGGUUCUUUUUUUGAGGUUCAUUCACUAUUGCAUUUUAAUAGUAAUAUUAAUUAAGUAAAUUCCUGGUAAGCAUUGGGUGAUCUGAAACUAUGGUUACAAAUAACCAUUCUUUGAGAAACAGCCCACCUCAAUAGUUCGUCAACCCUAGCACCUCUCUGGAGAAAAAAAUAUGGUGGUCACAAGCAGUGUUGGAGAAGUUCAACCCGUGGUUUCGCCUGACUAUGAUCGAGAACAAGAAUUCAGAGCAUUCUUUGAUUCUAAAGCUGGUGUGAAGGGAAUAAUCGAUUCAGGCGCGACAAAGAUUCCUCGAAUUUUUGUCCACGAUUUUGAUAAGCCUGAGGACAAGCCGUGUCCUGGAAACUCCAAUCUUUCCAUUCCCGUCAUAGAUAUUGGAGGCAUCAACCAAGAUGCAGAUACGCGCUCAGACACUGUUGAUAAAAUUCGUGCUGCAUCUGAGGAAUGGGGGUUCUUCCAGGUAGUUAAUCUUUAUUAAUCAAUUGGAAUCUCCAUCUAAUCAAUACCAACUUUUCCCCUGUGCUUAUGAACAAAUCGUUCGUCGACGCCUGAUGGUCGAGCAGCUUACGGCCAGUUUCAAUUGAGCAAGGAUGAGCAAGAGUCGAGAUCAAGGAAGCUAUAUGCAGAGUAGUGUGAUUCCAAAAGCUAUGCUCAGAUAUAAUAACGGUCCACUUUGAUCCUUCCCAGCAUUCAAAAAAUCAGUUACCUGGGGUGAUUGUUAUUUCUUGUGCAAUUUGAUUCAUCUUCAGCUGACCUUCAGAAUUUGCCAGUGGAGAGAUUCAGGUAUCGGUGAAAGUCUCAUAAUUACUCACAUAUCACUUAAAGUUUGCCCCACUAUACCCUUACAGUUCACAUCACUUCACGAUCAGAUUACUGUUUUACCGGUGCAGGAAUCCAAUGAGCGAGUACAUGAAUUGUGUUAAUACAUUAGGUAUGACUCUAUUUGAAUUGCUGUCUGAGGCUUUGGGUCUAAGAAAAGGUUAUCUGAAAGAUAUUGGCUGUGCUGAGGGGCUUUACUUCGUUGGGCACUACUACCCACCUUGUCCUGAACCCGAAUUAACUCUGGCGAAUUUUGUCCAUAAUGAUUUAGCCUUCCUGAAUAUGCUCCUGCAAGAUCAAAUCGGUGGUCUUCAAGUGCUUUACCAAAAUCAAUGGGUUGAUGUCACUCCCGUGCCUGGAGCUAUGGUCGUGGACUUUGGAGACAUGAUGCAGGUAAAGAUUUACGUGUACUUUGAGCUC
rnacentral:lncRNA from 1 species